rnacentral:lncRNA from 1 species
UUUCACUGUAUCUUCUCAAAAGCAAAGUGAUUAACACUGUCAGAAGCUUCCCCCACAGCCCACAAGAGAAGUAUAGUAGGAGUAGGUACUUAUGUUACUGCCAGAAUCCGCAAAUUUUCUUCUGUGAAUCCAGGAGAAAAGGAUGAGAUUGUUAUGAGAUCAAUAUUGGCUUAUUUCAUUCAGUACAAACAGCAUAAUACCUACCAAUGGUAGGGAGCAGGGCAGUACAAUGCCUUGAACAUGUGCUCAGAACAAUAAAAUGAAUUGUUUUUAUGUUGUCAGAUGAAUGAAAUCAAAGCAUUCAGAAAAUGCCUCUGAAGUUUAAGAGAAUAGAUACUUCAUAGUUCAUAAUAGUUCAAACAAGUUGUUUUAACAAUAAAUAAGCCAGCAGCAUAUUUUUUGAAUUUUUUUCUUUUGUAAAGAUGGUUCUAAACCAUACACCACAUUAUAAUCAUUUCAAAAAAUUUUUAAAAUGAAAUAAAACAGCAAAUCUUAUUUCAAAUGAAUUAAACCUUUCUCUGAGGAAAGUGCCUGGAUAUAUAUUUUUUAAAACUCCCUAGGUGAUUUGAGCCUGUGGCCACAGUUGAGAAACAGUGGUUUGUAAUAUCAGUGGUCUUGGGUAACCUAAGCAAGAAAGCUUCUUUUGGUCAUGAAGAUUUAAGUGCAUCUACUUCAGGGUCAGUCAUAAUGUGCCCUUUCUUCUUUUUCACCAUGGCUCUAUUCAUAAUUCCUCAGUCUUUUCUGAAGAGGAUGUAAGGUGGACGCACCAGUCAACUUGCAAUGGCAAAAGCAUAUCAUCGGUUGAACCUGGACACUUUCCUGCUUCUAGGUGCCAGGGAAUAGAUAAAACAAACAUUUCCUUUUUGGAUUCCAUGAAGGCUCACAGAGAAUUCCUUUGAUGAGGAUUCAGAUUCUGCAUCAAGAAGCUGCAGUUUGGGGAAAUGAAUCCUUCAAAAUGCACUUGGGAAUCGCUCAAACUUGAUUUUACACACAGAAACAUCAGCAAAUUUUUCAGUCAGAGCUGUGAACUUUUCCUAUCUGCAUGGAUCUUCUUUGAGUUGCUAUGGCAAUACCUACUGCAAGGAGCUUAGAAGCAUGUGUUUGUCAGGAGAGUGUGCAUAGGAGUGGUGGAAAAGAAAGAUAAAGAGAAGAAAAACAGGUAGAGGUGGUGGAGGAAGAAAAU